GCCAGAUACACAGUAUUUAUGCACAGACCCCCACAGGGGGUCUCCAUCCACAGUAAUGUAAAACAUAAGCCUGCCCUGGCGUCCCUUUGUCUGGGACAUAAUGGUAUCUACCAGACACAGGAAUCCGACACACAAAAUCCCACAAAAUACACAGUAAUGCAUCCAUCCCCAUAUGCCCUACUUCCCUGGAUAGCUCCUGGUGUGAGCUAUGUUCCCUGAAAAAGUCUGGGCUCGAGGCUCUGUACAUACCCUAAACAGUUCCACAAGAUCACUUGGUUUAGGCUGGUGAAAGAAGCGGCCAAUCGGAAAAAAGGGCGAAAACACGUAGUGGCCAGUCAGCAUUCAGGGAGAGAAGGUGUUGUGGCGAAACCAACCUCGCCACUGUGAACUGGAGAAGCCUGGUUGCUCGCCUGCUCCCUUUGGACUAUGGCCCUGCAGGUUAAACCGUUUAUUUCCCCUGCAGAAAGGCUUAUUUGUGUGAUCUGAGUGCCAUUCAUCUAAUAAUGUGCACUCAGAUCCCAGCUAUCUGGGGAUAUGUGAAAUGCCUGUGUGUUAUGUGUAAAUAUGACUUUAUGUAUUUUAAAGUGUUUUGUGUCUUUUUGCAACCAUGUGCUUAAUGGAGUCUUGUGUCUAUCCUGGGAGAUAAUUGAAUUACUUAUCUCCAGGAUAGAAGACUCUGAAACUGGUUUGGGCUAGAAAGCCAUGCUUCAUUUAGUCACAAAGGACUUUUUACUAACUUUUGAACCCUUUGUCUGAUUUGUGCCAUUUUUGAAUAUGUUGUUCCCCUGAAUGGAUUGAUUGAGAAUAUGUAAUUUUAUGUGAAUGUGAUGUAUGGUUUUGGAGUUAUGAAAGUUGGGUAGAAAGUACGUUUUAACUGUAUGUAUAAUUGAGUUUCCUCUCAGGAUAAGGGGAGGGAAUAUGUGGGAUGUAACUGUGAUGUGAUUGGUUGUUUUGUAACGCCCUGUGGGCUGUACUAUGUUUGUGGAUUGGGAAUAAAAGAGACUGUAUGUGACAGUACAGGAAGUUCCUGCUUAACCCUCAAAGUGAAGUGUCGUCUCAUUAUUGGGGGAAGGAUUCAUUGUAUGCUGUUCCAGUUUGACUGCUAGGAGAGUAAACCUAUUCGUAUGGUUCCUAUUCAACUGUUUACAGCAUUCAUAUGCUUGGGAGAAUUUAUUUGUUUCUCCGGUUCGGUGAUUGUGGUGUCUGCCAGAGUGCUUGGAGUCCUCAGGAAGCGCUAGGAGCAUCCUUCAGCGGAGGUACCCAGUCGGGGGUGCCAGGUGAUCCGUUACAGGUGUUUAGCUGACCAAUCAGGAGAAAGGGUGCAAAACCAAUUUGGAUUGUAGCGCUUCUUCCAUUGGUCGGCACGGUCUCUGCGGUUGUGAAGCAGCCUGCUUGUUUUAUAAUGUCGACUAGGGCUCACGCCUCUCCUUGUUGGAUGUCUCCACGUGGGUAGCACCAGGGAGAGCAUUCUUUGAGGUAGACAAGCCUCCAAGGGACAAAGUGGUGGCGGGGAGCGGGAGGGCUGCAUUCUGUUGGUGUACACAGUCAUACUGACACAGUUUGUU
rnacentral:lncRNA from 1 species